GUGCUUGCUUCAGCAGCACAUAUACAAAACUUGGAAUGAUACAGCGAAGAUUAGCAUGGCCUCUGCGCCAGGAUGACAUUGCUUAUUUGUGAAGCGUUCCAUAUUAAA